GUUGAACGCUGGCGGCGUGCCUAAUACAUGCAAGUCGAGCGAACAGACGAGGAGCUUGCCCCUCUGCCGUUAGCGGCGGACGGGUGAGUAACACGUGGAUAACCUACCUAUAAGACUGGGAUCACUUCGGGAAACCGGAGCUAAUACCGGAUAAUAUAUUGAACCGCAUGGUUCAUUAGUGAAAGACGGUUUUGCUGUCACUUAUAGAUGGAUCCGCGCCGCAUUAGCUAGUUGGUAAGGUAACGGCUUACCAAGGCAACGAUGCGUAGCCGACCUGAGAGGAUGAUCGGCCACACUGGAACUGAGACACGGUCCAGACUCCUACGGGAGGCAGCAGUAGGGAAUCUUGCGCAAUGGGCGAAAGCUUGACGGAGCAACGCCGCGUGAGUGAAGAAGGUCUUCGGAUCGUAAAGCUCUGUUAUUUGGGAAGAACAAAUGUGUAUGUAACUAUGCACGUCUUGACGGUACCUAAUCAGAAAGCCACGGCUAACUACGUG
rnacentral:rRNA from 1 species